UACAGAGGUCCCAAGCGUUGUUCGGAUUCACUGGGCGUAAAGAGCUCGUAGGCGGCCUGUUGCGUCCGCUGUGAAAGCCCGGGGCUUAACCCCGGGUCGGCAGUGGAUACGGGCAGGCUAGAGGUAGGUAGGGGAGAAUGGAAUUCCCGGUGUAGCGGUGAAAUGCGCAGAUAUCGGGAGGAACACCGGUGGCGAAGGCGGUUCUCUGGGCCUUACCUGACGCUGAGGCACGAAAGCCAGGGGAGCAAACGGG
rnacentral:rRNA from 1 species